rnacentral:lncRNA from 13 species
CUCACACACUACUUGAUUUUUCAGUAUGUGAACGGGCCUGUGCUCCGUAGCGUCGUGGUGUUUCUGCUGUUGGGUGUCUCCUACAGUAAGCGCAGGUGCAACUACACGGAUAUACUCAGCACGUACAGAGAACUAAUCUUCGUUGAACUUCAGAAUUUGAAUCUGACAGGCACUUUUGACACAUCCAAAGGGAGGGACCAUUGUCCCUCAGGAAAGCUGCAGCACGUGUUGCGCUCCAUCCAUGGUAUGACGGAGCAAUUCCUGUGUCAGGGCUGGGAUCAGGAACACGGGCGGGGCAGCAGAGAGCAGCGGGCCAUGAAGAAGCCAGUGGAGAUGAUGGCAGUGCUGAUCAGACAGAACUGCAGGCACACUGACCUGGUGAGGCUGCUUUAAAGACAGGGCUAGGUUUCACUAUGGUUCUGGCGAAUGCUUUUUGUUACAUACGAUUCAUUUUUUAAUAAUGAUAGUUAAUGUGUAUAAAUGAUGUAUAUCAGUCAACGACGAUGUAAUGAGAUGAGAUGGAUCCUCAAUGUUUUGCCUUUCCUUUCUUUAAGGUGAGGAAACAGAAGAGAACAGCGCUGUGUGUGACUGCCCAGAGGACGAAGGGAAAGAACAGGAAGAGGAUGAGACUCAUCAGGGCACUGAUAAACUGUUGGCAGAAGCUGCAGAGUUUGUACACACCCACAAAAUAAUUCAAAAAAAAUACGUUUUUCUUUUUUAUCAAAAUUGUUUCAAAAAAGCUUAUUUUGUAGAGUAGAAUGACAGUUCGUAUGUCAGGCAUAUGCCUCUGUUUAUGACCUUUUACUUCUUGUCUGUAUAGUCCCACACGUAUAAGCUAUAGGUCACCAUAGAUCAGGGAUGGGCCACUUUGAUGUGGGCGGGGGCCACAAAAAAACCGAACUGAUCAUGCUUACUAUAAGUUUAGAUAGCUAGCCGCUAGACUAACUUGCCAAUCUAAAAAUGUUUACCUGACUUGGGCUAAUUAAGUGACUGCUGAUGCACAACCACAUGUUGAAAUUGCACCUUGUGUAAUCUACUAUUCUUACUCUCAGCAGUAAGUUGAGACCCGACUGAGUUCCCCCCAUUAAUUAUGGUUGUUAGAGGAUGGUUUUACAAUGCAGUGAAGAUAUUUACUUGUAAUACCUUGGUGCACACACAUUUUAUAACUCUUAGCUAUCUCACAAUCCAGAUAUUGUUUUUGUGAAACCGAUAGAUACAUUUGUUGUUCUAUGAAAUGUAUUCAAGAUGCCCACUGAUAAAGGUUUCUUAAACUGCAUU